GGGUUAGGGUUAGGAGUUGUAAAAUACAACAGCUCCCCCCAACCUAGAACCCGUCUAGGAAGGGUUAGGGUUAGGUUUUUUGGGGUUUACAACGAACUCCCCCACACGAUCUCACCAGACGGUGUGGUUUGGUUUAGGGAGAACGAGGAAAGGCACGGGCCGGCGCAUGUUUUUGAGAGUGGAGGAACUGUGAAUUCCGG